AGUGAACGCUGGCGGUAGGCCUAACACAUGCAAGUCGAACGGCAGCACAGUAAGGGUUUGCCUCUACGGGUGGCGUGGGGGGGAGGGGAGAGGUAUACAGCGGACUCCACAUUUUCGGGGGGGAACACGGAGGGACACAUGCGCUAAUACCGUAUAAGACCUGGGGGUGAGAGCAGGGGAUCAUCGGAUCUCGCGCGAUUGUGAGAGGCGAUGUCGGAUUAGCUAGUUGGCGGGGUAAAGGCCCACCAAGGCGACGAUCCGUAGCUGGUCUGAGAGGAUGAUCAGCCACACUGGAACUGAGACACGGUCCAGACUCCUACGGGAGGCAGCAGUGGGGAAUAUUGGACAAUGGGCGCAAGCCUGAUCCAGCCAUACCGCGUGGGUGAAGAAGGCCUUCGGGUUGUAAAGCCCUUUUGUUGGGAAAGAAAAGCAGCAGGUUAAUACCCCGCGGUUCUGACGGUACCCAAAGAAUAAGCACCGGCUAACUUCGUG
rnacentral:rRNA from 1 species